GGCCUGCCCGCCGCUCCGCUCCCUGCGAACGCCGGCUCUGCGACCGCGCCCUCUCCCGCCGCCCUGGGCGCCUUCUCGGACGUGCUGGUCCGCUGCGAGGUGUCCCGCGUGCUGCUGCUGCUGCUCCUGCAGCCCCCGCCCGCCAAGCUCCUCCCCGAGCAUGCCCACACCCUGGAGAAGUACUCCUGGGAGGCUUUCGACAGCCACGGGCAGGAGAGCAGCGGCCAGCUUCCCGAGGAGCUCUUCCUGCUGCUCCAGUCCUUGGUCAUGGCUACCCACGAGAAGGACACGGAAGCUGUCAAGUCGCUGCAGGUGGAGAUGUGGCCCCUGUUGAGUGCCGAGCAGAACCACCUCCUUCACCUCCUUCUGCAAGAAACCGUCUCCCCCUCAGGAGAGGGAAUCUGAAGAAGCCUGUUAACCGAGUGACUCCUCUUUGCCUGUUACCCAACCUCACGCAUCCGCCUUUGCGUUUGGAGGGAAGUAAAAGACGUGGAUCGCAGCGGUCGGCCUUUGUUUGCGUAUUCCUCUUGCCACCACAGGAAUUGACUGCAAGUUACCUGCCUCCCGAAGACUUCUUUCCACAAUAGGAGUAGGGAAGAAAAAACCCCAACAAAACCAAUAUGCUAGGAUCAGAGUGGGGGACUUAGCCCUCUUCCCCAAAACUGCACCAUAAAAAUGACAAUCCUUUUAGCCCUUUCCUCUUCCAGCCAACUCGCCCCGUCCCGCCCCAUCUUUGUUUCAGUCUGGAUCUUAUUUUGCACAGCUCUGUUGAAAUACUUAAGCUAUGUGGUGUUUUUAUCGUGACUCAUUUCUUGGCAUAGUCUAUAUCUAUGUGAUCGCCCAGUUUCUCCUUUGUUUUACACACCACCCCCCCCCCAACGUAUCUGUGGGAACGAUUGUGUACAUUGCUGUUGUCGCUAUAGCCUUUAAGUCCACGAUAAAGCCAUUCCAAUACUACACACUUGUGGUUUAGAUUUACUUCAUCUAUAAAAUGGGAAUAAUUUACAUGUCAGGAGGCAGAAAGCACAAACAGAUACUUCUCUAUCAGUUCCAAGAUGUAUGCAUUCAAUUGAAAUUGACAGCGUGCCUAGUAUGUGGGCUGCGGACCACGCCAGACAGUGAGUGUAUGAGAUAAUCUGCGACGUGGUCCUUACUCAGGUUGCUGCCAUGCAAAUGUGUCCCGUGCAAGGGCGGGUUGGGAGGGGUGGAGAGGAAGCGGGGUCCAACGCUGAUGUGUCAUGUGUGCAUUGGAAUUCACAUUUCCGAUUUUAUCCUGGGAUGGACCUGUUAUCCACGGGACCUCUUGCUGUAGGAGGGGUCUCCCUGCAACUCUUACUUGAAUAGGUCUUUUGGUCCAAAUGUUACAUGCAAAGCGACUUAGCUUCUUUUUUUUUAAAUUCAGUCUUAUUUUCCUUACAGUUUCAAGAGUGAUAACAAGAUCUCUGCACAGUAUAAUCUUGUUCUCAUUCAGCUUUGGGACAAUGCAUGAUUUAGGCUGAAUUGUAUGCAGUACUGAUAUUUUGGGGUGAGAUUUAAGGACACAGUUUGGGGGUAGAUUUUUAUUUUGCAUUUUUGGGGGUAUGGGGAUGGUUGUCACUAUGAGUCAAGUGCCUCAAAAUGGAUGGGACCUUUGGGGUAUGCUUUUCUACUUCUAUUUCAACAGCGUGGAAGCAAUAGGUAAGGAACUACAGGAUACGCCCAUUGGAGACAGAUUGAGCCACCAUUCCUGCGCUCUCACUUGGCUGCCAGGAAGGUUCCCUUGGAGUCCUAAACGCCCAGUGCAGUUAAUUGCAAAAGUGGCCCUGUCGCCAUAAUGUCAUCAAUAUAAUGGACCAGUAUGGUGUUUUGUUGGAUGUCAAGAUGUUUGGAGUUCCUUGGGUCUAUAUUAGGACAAAGAAUAAGGAAGCUGGCAUCAUCCUGAGUGAUCCAUGUUGGUGAAACCCAAUGAAAAGCCAGAGGUUGAGGUAGCCUGUUAAGGUAUUCCACACAGCACCAAGCAGUGAUAAGUACAGGAGAAAAAAAAUGAAGCAGCGUAACAAGACAGAUUGGAAAGGUCUCCAGAAGCUAAAGUGCUGUCUUUUCCCAAAUUAGAUGGAAUUUCCAACUGAAGAUACUUCAUUUUUCCUCUUGGUAUUGUGGCAUAAACAACUGAAAGUACCAGGAAAAUUAGAAGAACAGAUGCAACCCCACAAAGGAGGAAACUGUGUCGGGGAAUGGCCUCGGCCUACUAAGUAGAGGAAGCAGGGUGCUGGUGCACUGUGAGAAGUGGAUAGAGCUGGGGAGCUACGUGCUGACAUGGGUGUCCCUGUCCGGGCUGUAAGUUCCAGAUGUGGGAGGCAUGUGAGGUGCGCUGAGAGCAAAGCUGGAAGCAGAAGUUUUCUCCCUUUUCCUGUUGGGGCUCUAGAAGGAACCUACCCUUGUGAGUAGGCAGAGAGGCUGAGUUGGCACUUCCAAGCUGCCCGCAGCUCUCACGUGGCAUGGGAGGAACUCAGAAGUUCCCGUAUGUAUGCCCUUGAAGGGGUCACAGCCCUGUCAUGACAAUACUUUUGGACAUGUUGGAUUAAAUCAAAUAUAUGAUUUAAAUGAAUCUCACAUGUUUCUUUUAUAAUGCGGCUACUAGGAAAUGUAC